GUAUGGCAGGAACAUGGGGCAGAACCAAACGGCAACCUAGGCUAAGGGUCUCUGUAAAGGGUACAACAGUUAGCAGCGCUCACCUCUGUGAGAAACAAAGUCGGGGGUGGUGGGUUGUCUCGGUACAGCUGGCAAAAGGACUGAGACUGUUAAUUUAAAGACAGGCUCUGCGAAGCUCUGGGGAGAAGGGAGGCCAGCACAAACAUACACAGACACAGCCCACAUAUAGUCCAGACUGGAUUGGGAACAGGCACUGGGAUUACUGCUGAUAAGCUGGACUGGGAAGCUGUGCACGGACUGAGGUCAGAAUGUACUAUAUGCUCACAAUCUCCUGCCUGUACCUACCAUUACUGAAUUGCUUCACAGCUUCGAAGAGCAGAUCCAAGAACAUCCGUAUCUCUUCUGGCAGGGAGCCAGCAAGAAAUCGCAGAACAAUUGACAUGCGAGUGCCUGCUGAAGACUUGCCCUGCGUUUUGCUGCCCGUUUUGUUUCUCAUCCUGCCAUAGAGAAUUCUUCAAGAGACAAAAAGAGGUUGUAUUAGCUUUCAGCAAGCUCUCUGUUUCCUAGCCUCUUACUCUGCAGGAGAAACUUUAUUUGGUUUAAAAACUUUGACUAUCAUGAACAAAACAAGCAGAAAUUCCUCCUCCCAAAUCUCCUCUGAAUUAUUAUACAGUGCUCAGAAACAUCACAGUGAAAGACCAGCUUCUGCUUCACCUAUAGAAGCUUUGCUAGCUUGUGGACAGCUACUGCUGAAGAAGGAAUCUGCACAAUCUGCAUUACUCUACCUUAGUACGAAUAAAUGAUAAUAUUCAGUGAAUUGAAAUGUCUCACAGUUCUCUCUAAGCCUUAGAAGAAACAAUAUUUACCAGAAUGCUGUUUUUAAAGAAAAUAAAGCCAUACAACCAACACAAA